CGGGGCGUAGCGCAGUCUGGUAGCGCACCUGCUUUGGGAGCAGGGGGUCGGAGGUUCGAGUCCUCUCGCCCCGA
rnacentral:tRNA from 1 species